rnacentral:rRNA from 1 species
GCCCACAUAAUCAAAUCCUAUAACUCAUACAAUAAUCAAAACAUAUAAAUAAACAUAAUUAAUAAAGUACAGAAAUGGAAAAAACAAUAAAUAAAAGUAAGUCUUAACAAUUAUACCUUGUGCAUUAUGGUUUUACAAGAAAAUAAUUAAAUAUAUUAAUCCCGAAUUCUAAAUGAGAUGUUAAACUGCUGUUAUGAACCCAUUAGUAACUGUGGAAAUAGAUUUAAAAGACAGUUUAACAGAGGCUACAUACCAUCCGCAUAAGAAUAUAGCUGGUUUUCAACAAACAUUAUAUAUUAAAACAUAUAAUUAUAUUAUAGUGUAAAAUUAUUGAGGACAAGCCCAAUAAUAAAUGCAAUAAUUAAUAUUAAUCUAUCUUAUUAAAUAGGCCUAAAACCAGCCAACUAUAACACUUUACCGUAAUAUAAAUAGAUAUAAUUAUAUAAAAUAAAAUGCCUAAAAAGUUGAAAUAGGGGAUAAACUAAAUUAUCCUCCCAUAAUAUGUAAAAAUAAGUAUUACACAUCUAUAGUACAAUAAUCUAGUAACAACACCAAAUAAAGAAAAAAUAAUUAAUUAAGGAACUCGGCAAAUAACUAUUUCGACUGUUUAACAAAAACAUUGUCUUAUGAUCAAAAAUAUUAGAUAAUACCUGCCCAGUGACACUCUGUUCAACGGCCGCGGUAUCCUAACCGUGCAAAGGUAGCAUAAUCACUUGCCUAUUAAUUGUAGGCUAGAAUGAAGGGGUUAACGAAAUAAUAACUGUCUCAAUUAAUCACCUAAAAAUUAUUCUCUACUUGAAGAAAAGUAGAUCGUCUCGAAGGACAAGAAGACCCUAUAGAGCUUUAUUUUACUUAUAGAAUUAUACUAUAAUAAAUAUUCGGUUGGGGCGACCCCGGGCUAAAUAAUCACCCGCUAUAUAAAAGAUAAAUAAAUCUAAUAAAUGACCCUCUAAAGAUCAUAAAAACCAGCUACCUUAGGGAUAACAGGCUAAUCCCACUUAAGAGUCCUUAUCAAUAGUGGGGUUUGGCACCUCGAUGUUGGCUUAGGGUAUCUAUAUAACGCAAAAGUUAUAUAAAGAUGGUUUGUUCAACCAAUAAUUCCCUACAUGAGCUGAGUUCAGACCGGCGUAAGCCAGGUUAGCUUCUAUCCUCGACUAAUAUAUUCUGCUCCUAGUACGAAAGGACCUGAGCAGAGUAAUUAUUUAUUUUUAAGAACCUGUAUAACUAAAUAUUAAAAACAAUAACUAUAUACUAUA